rnacentral:rRNA from 1 species
UAAGUAAGCGGAGGAAAAGAAACUAAAUAGGAUUCCCUUAGUAAUGGCGAAUGAACAGGGAUCAGCUCAGUAUGGAAAUCGGGGCUUCCCAGCCUUGAAUUGUAGUCUCAAGAGGUAUCGCCAACGGAGGCGCAGAUGUAAGCCUCUUGGAAAAGAGCAUCAAUGAGGGUGAGAAUCCCGUUUGUCAUCUGCAGUCCCCCGUGCACGGUGUAUCUUCUAAGAGUCGCGUUCCUCGGGAUUGGAGCGUAAAGUGGGUGGUAAAUUUCAUCUAAGGCUAAAUAUGGGUUCGAGACCGAUAGCAAACAAGUACCAUGAGGGAAAGAUGAAAAGGACUUUGAAAAGAGAGUUAAAAGUGCCUGAAAUUGCUGAAAGGGAAGCGAAUGGAACCAGUGCUCUUGGCGAGAUUGUUGYGCGCUAUGGUGAUUGCUGGSUGCUUCAGCGCAAGCGGGGUAGUUGGUACUGAGCCUGCCGCGCGCAGUGUUUCUUACCUUGUGCGUCACCGUCGGUUCACGGGCGAGGAUACUUCUGAGGACAUGGUAACUCUUCCACGGAGGUGUGAAUGUCUUUGGUAAUACUCGUUUGUAGACCGCUCACCUUCGGGUUACGAUGACUAAAUGGUUCUAUUCGACCCGUCUUGAAACACGGACCAAGGAGUCUAACAUAUGUGCGAGUUCUCGGGUGGUUAAACCUGCUUGCGCAAUGAAAGUGACUGCUGGGAUCUUUGCACCAGCAACCGACCAAUCAAUUAAGAGAGGUUUGAGUAUGAGCAUAUCUGUUAGGACCCGAAAGAUGGUGAACUAUGCCUGAGAAGGGCAAACUCAGGGGAAACUCUGAUGGAGGCUCGUAGCGAUACUGACGUGCAAAUCGUUCGUCAUACUUGGGUAUAGGGGCGAAAGACUAAUCGAACCAUC